GGUCAGAUAGCUCAGUUGGUAGAGCAGGGGACUGAAAAUCCCCGUGUCGGGGGUUCGAUUCCCUCUCUGACCACCA
rnacentral:tRNA from 1 species